UGAGUGCGAGCUGCUACGGCAGCGAAGUUGGUGACGUCAAGCUUCCAAGAAAAGCCCUAUACCCGUUAAGGCAUGAUUGCCUGUACCCGAAACCGACACAGGUGGGGUGGUAGAGAAUACCGAGGGGCGCGAGGUAACUCUCUCUAAGGAACUCGGCAAAAUGACCCCGUAACUUCGGGAGAAGGGGUGCCACCGCAAGGUGGUCGCAGUGAAUAGGCCCAGGCGACUGUUUACCAAAAACACAGGUCUCCGCUAAGUCGCAAGACGAUGUAUGGGGGCUGACGCCUGCCCAGUGCCGGAAGGUUAAGGAAGUUGGUCAGCGAAAGCGAAGCUAGCGACUGAAGCCCCGGUGAACGGCGGCCGUAACAAUAACGGUCCUAAGGUAGCGAAAUUCCUUGUCGGGUAAGUUCCGACCCGCAAAAGGCGUAACGAUCUGGGCGCUGUCUCGGAGAGAGGCUCGGCGAAAUAGAAUUGUCUGUGAAGAUGCGGACUACGUGCACCUGGACAGAAAGACCCUAUGAAGCUUUACUGUAGCUUGGUAUUGUGUCCGGGCUCUGAAUGCGCAGGAUAGGUGGGAGGCUUUGAUCCAUUGCUUGCGGGUGAUGGUGAGCCAACGGUGAGAUACCACUCUUUCAGAGCUAGGAUUCUAACGGUCACCCGUCAUCCGGGGACCGGACAGUAUCUGGUGGGCAGUUUGACUGGGGCGGUCGCCUCCUAAAAGGUAACGGAGGCGCGCAAAGGUCUGCUCAGGCUGGUUGGAAAUCAGCCGACGAGUGCAAAAGCAGAAGCAGGCUUGACUGUGAGACCCACAAGUCGAACAGGGGGGAAACCCGGCUUUAGUGAUCCGACGGUUCUGAGUGGAAGGGCCGUCGCUCAACGGAUAAAAGUUACUCUAAGGAUAACAGGCUGAUCUCCCCCAAGAGUUCACAUCGACGGGGAGGUUUGGCACCUCGAUGUCGGCUCAUCGCAACCUGGGGCUGAAGUCGGUCCCAAGGGUUGGGCUGUUCGCCCAUUAAAGCGGUACGCGAGCUGGGUUCAGAACGUCGUGAGACAGUUCGGUCCAUAUCCGGUGCAUGCGCAGGAAUAUUGAGAGGAUUUCUCCCUAGUACGAGAGGACCGGGAGGAACGCACCUCUGGUGUACCAGUUAUCGUGCCAACGGUAAACGCUGGGUAGCCAUGUGCGGAGUGGAUAGCCGCUGAAAGCAUCUAAGUGGGAAGCCCACCUCAAGAUGAGUAUUCCCAUGGCGUUAGCCAGUAAGGUCACGGGCAGAACACCCGUUGAUAGGCUCUACGUGGAAGCGCAGUAAUGUGUGAAGCGGAGGAGUACUAAUAGACC
rnacentral:rRNA from 1 species